rnacentral:lncRNA from 1 species
CUGGGAGCCACAAGUGAGAGCUGGGUGUCAGGUAGGGGUCAGAGGCUGGAGAGCUGCCCUAGGAGGGCACGACAAGCCCUCCAUACCAAGGUGCUACCCCUCCCUGAGCACCCAAAGAAAUUAAAGCACAGGGGAAGAAAAAGAAAAGGAAAGGAAAGAACAUCAACAAGCAGGAAAGGAACCAGAGGAGAGCAUCUAGGAGUAACUGCACUUUCAGAGUUCCAUUUAUCCCAUCCUUAACUUCUUGGAUUUUCAUUCAGAUAAGAUUAUUCAUUUGUUAUGAUGAGCCAUUUAACAGUGUAAAGGAGUUUUGUGGCAAAAAUCUCCUCUUUUGAAUCUGGGAAGAAUAUAAACUGAUGCAAAUUGGAGUGAGCCAGAACCAAAAGAAUAAUACACAGAAACAGCAAUAUUUUAACAUUGAUCAUCUGCAAAAGACUUUGCUACUCUGAUCAGUACAAUGAUCCAAGAAAAUUCUAAAAGAUUGAUAAUAAAAUGCUGUCAAAUUCCA